CCUACGGGCGGCUGCAGUGGGGAAUAUUGCACAAUGGGCGCAAGCCUGAUGCAGCCAUGCCGCGUGUGUGAAGAAGGCCUUCGGGUUGUAAAGCACUUUCAGCGGGGAGGAAGGCGUUAAGGUUAAUAACCUUGGCGAUUGACGUUACCCGCAGAAGAAGCACCGGCUAACUCCGUGCCAGCAGCCGCGGUAAUACGGAGGGUGCAAGCGUUAAUCGGAAUUACUGGGCGUAAAGCGCACGCAGGCGGUCUGUCAAGUCGGAUGUGAAAUCCCCGGGCUCAACCUGGGAACUGCAUGCGAAACUGGCAGGCUAGUGUCUUGUCGAGGGGUGUAGAGUUCCAGGUGUAGCGGUGAACUGCGUAGAGAUCUGGAGGAAUACCGGUGGCGAAGGCGGCCCCCUGGACAAAGACUGACGCUCAGGUGCGAAAGCGUGGGGAGCAAACAGGAUUAGAUACCCUAGUAGUC
rnacentral:rRNA from 1 species